rnacentral:pre_miRNA from 1 species
AAACUACUCCCUCCGUCCGGAAAUAUUUGUCGAAGAAAUGCAUAAAAAUGGAUGUAUCUAGAACUAAAAUACGUCUAGAUACAUUCAUUUCUCUGACAAGUAUUUCCAGACGGAAGGAGUAUCUG